AUGCAAGUCGAACGGUUUAAUGUUUGCAAUUAGUUGAAUGAGUAGCAAUACUCAGGAUGCUGAAAGCGGAUAUUGAAUAGUGGCAGACGGGUGAGUAAUACGUGGAUGACCUAUCUUCAAGCGGGGGAUAACCCCGGGAAACCGGAGCUAAUACCGCGUAAGGUCACAUUUCGAAACUUCGAGAAGUGAUUAAAGUUGCCGAGCAAUCGGUGACGCUUGUAGCAGGGUCCAUGGUCUAUCAGCUAGUUGGUGAGGUAAUGGCUCACCAAGGCUAUGACGGAUAGCCGGCCUAAAAGGGCGAACGGCCACAAUGGAACUGAGACACGGUCCAUACUCCUACGGGAGGCAGCAGUGGGGAAUUUUGCGCAAUGGGGGAAACCCUGACGCAGCAACGCCGCGUGGAGGACGAAGGUUUUCGGAUUGUAAACUCUUUUUGUUCUGGAAGAAUACCCCGAUGUAGAAUCGGGGCUGACGGUACAGAACGAAUAAGCCACGGCAAACUACGUGCCAGCAGCCGCGGUAAUACGUAGGUGGCGAGCGUUACUCGGAAUUACUAGGCGUAAAGCGCAGGUAGGUGGCUUAGAAAGUCUAUUGUGAAAGCUCCCGGCUUAACUGGGAGAGGUCAAUGGAUACUUCUAGGCUUGAGUGUAGGAAGGGGAACUAGAAUUCCCGGUGUAGCGGUGAAAUGCGUAGAUAUCGGGAGGAAUACCAAUGGCGAAAGCAGGUUCCUAGACUAAUACUGACACUGAGCUGCGAAAGCUAGGGGAGCAAACAGGAUUAGAUACCCUGGUAGUCCUAGCUGUAAACGAUGUUCACUAGGUGUGGGGAGUAUCGACCCUUUCCGCGCCGACGCUAACGCAUUAAGUGAACCGCCUGGGAAGUACGGCCGCAAGGUUGAAACUCAAAGGAAUUGACGGGGGCCCGCACAAGCGGUGGAGCAUGUGGUUUAAUUCGAUUCAACGCGAAGAACCUUACCUGGGCUUGAACUGUAGGAAGUAAGAUUCUGGAAACAGAAGAUGACCUGUAAAGUCAGGAGCUUAUAGAGGUGCUGCAUGGUUGUCGUCAGCUCGUGUCGUGAGAUGUUGGGUUAAGUCCCGCAACGAGCGCAACCCCUAUCCCAUGUUGCCAAUCCCGAAAGGGAGGCACUCUUGGGAGACUGCCUCGGAUAACGGGGAGGAAGGUAGGGAUGACGUCAAAUCAUCAUGGCCCUUAUGUCCAGGGCCACACACGUGCUACAAUGGUCGGUACAGAGGGAUGCAAUGCUGCAAAGUGGAGCAAAUCCCUAAAGCCGGCCCCAGUUCGGAUUGUGGGCUGCAACUCGCCCACAUGAAGGUGGAAUCGCUAGUAAUCGCAGAACAGCAGGCUGCGGUGAAUACGUUCCCGGGCCUUGUACACACCGCCCGUCACACCACGAAAGCCAAUUGCAACAGAAGUCCGAGUUUACUCGGCCCAAGUUGUGACUGGUGAUUGGGGUGAAGUCGUAACAAGGUA
rnacentral:rRNA from 1 species